GAUGAACGCUGGCGGCGUGCCUAACACAUGCAAGUCGAACGGAAAGGCCCUUGCUUGCAGGGGUACUCGAGUGGCGAACGGGUGAGUAACACGUGGGUGAUCUGCCCUGCACUUCGGGAUAAGCCUGGGAAACUGGGUCUAAUACCGGAUAGGACCAUCGUUUAGUGUCGGUGGUGGAAAGUUUUUUCGGUGUGGGAUGAGCUCGCGGCCUAUCAGCUUGUUGGUGGGGUAGUGGCCUACCAAGGCGUCGACGGGUAGCCGGCCUGAGAGGGUGUACGGCCACAUUGGGACUGAGAUACGGCCCAGACUCCUACGGGAGGCAGCAGUGGGGAAUAUUGCACAAUGGGCGCAAGCCUGAUGCAGCGACGCCGCGUGGGGGAUGACGGCCUUCGGGUUGUAAACUCCUUUCGUCAGGGACGAAGCGAAAGUGACGGUACCUGGAUAAGAAGCACCGGCUAACUACGUG
rnacentral:rRNA from 1 species